GGCACAUCCGGAGCCCCGGCCGUCGGCUCGCGUCUUCCCCUUGAGGGGAAAGAGCCAGACUUCUCAGAGGUCAGUCUGUUCAACAAGUGGGACCCCAGGGCCUUCUGUAUGUUCAGCAAAGAGAGCUUGCAGUGACCUCCCCAAAGGAUGGCUCCAUCUCCAUUCUGGGUUCUGAUGAUGCCACUACUUGUCACAUUGUGGUCCUGAGGCACACAGGUAAUGGGGCCACCUGCUUGACACAUUGUGACGGAACCGACACCAAAGCUGAGGUCCCCUUGAUCAUGAACUCCAUAAAAUCCUUUUCUGACCACGCUCAAUGUGGAAGGUGAGAUCUACGCU
rnacentral:lncRNA from 1 species